rnacentral:rRNA from 1 species
AGGGAAUCUUCCACAAUGGACGCAAGUCUGAUGGAGCAACGCCGCGUGAGUGAAGAAGGUUUUCGGACCGUAAAGCUCUGUUGUUGGUGAAGAAGGAUAGAGGUAGUAACUGGCCUUUAUUUGACGGUAAUCAACCAGAAAGUCACGGCUAACUACGUGCCAGCAGCCGCGGUAAUACGUAGGUGGCAAGCGUUGUCCGGAUUUAUUGGGCGUAAAGCGAGCGCAGGCGGAAGAAUAAGUCUGAUGUGAAAGCCCUCGGCUUAACCGAGGAAUUGCAUCGGAAACUGUUUUCUUGAGUGCAGAAGAGGAGAGUAGAACUCCAUGUGUAGCGGUGGAAUGCGUAGAUAUAUGGAGGAAUACCAGUGGCGAAGGCGGCUCUCUGGUCUGCAACUGACGCUGAGGCUCGAAAGCAUGGGUAGCGAACAGGAUUAGAUACCCUGGUAGUCCAUGCCGUAAACGAUGAGUGCUAAGUGUUGGGAGGCUUCCGCCUCUCAGUGCUGCAGCUAACGCAUUAAGCACUCCGCCUGGGGGAGUACGACCGCAAGGUUGAAAC